ensembl:snRNA U6 U6 spliceosomal RNA
GUGCUCGCUUUGACAGCACAUAUACUAAAAUUGGAACUCUACAGAAAAGAUUAGUUUGGCCCCUGUGCAAGGAUGUUAGGCAAAUUCAUGAAGUCCUCCAUAUUAAA